UACGAAGGGUGCAAGCGUUAAUCGGAAUUACUGGGCGUAAAGCGUGCGUAGGCGGUGAGUUAAGUCUGUCGUGAAAUCCCCGGGCUCAACCUGGGAAUGGCGAUGGAUACUGGCUCGCUAGGGUGUGAUAGAGGAUGGUGGAAUUCCCGGUGUAGCGGUGAAAUGCGUAGAGAUCGGGAGGAACACCAGUGGCGAAGGCGGCUACCUGGACCAGCACUGACACUGAGGCACGAAAGCGUGGGGAGCAAACAGG
rnacentral:rRNA from 1 species